rnacentral:rRNA from 1 species
GUCGUCAGCUCGUGUCGUGAGAUGUUGGGUUAAGUCCCGCAACGAGCGCAACCCUUGUCAUUAGUUGCCACAUUCAGUUGGGCACUCUAAUGAGACUGCCGGUGACAAACCGGAGGAAGGUGGGGACGACGUCAAGUCCUCAUGGCCCUUAUGGGUAGGGCUACACACGUCAUACAAUGGCGCAUACAGAGGGGAGCCAACCCGCGAGGGGGAGCAAAUCCCAGAAAGUGCGUCGUAGUCCGGAUUGAAGUCUGCAACUCGACCUCAUGAAGUCGGAAUCGCUAGUAAUCGCGGAUCAGCAUGUCGCGGUGAAUACGUUCCCGGGCCUUGUACACACCGCCCGUCACACCAUGGGAGUGGGUUUCACCAGAAGCAGGUAGCCUAACCGCAAGGGGGGCGCCUACCACGGUGAGAUUCAUGACUGGGGUGAAGUCGU